AUUGAACGCUGGCGGCAGGCCUAACACAUGCAAGUCGAACGAGUGGCGGACGGGUGAGUAAUGUCUGGGAACCUGCCCGGUGGAGGGGGAUAACUACUGGAAACGGUGGCUAAUACCGCAUACCAUCGGAUGUGCCCAGAUGGGAUUAGCUAGUUGGUGGGGUAACGGCUCACCUAGGCGACGAUCCCUAGCUGGUCUGAGAGGAUGACCAGCCACACUGGAACUGAGACACGGUCCAGACUCCUACGGGAGGCAGCAGUGGGGAAUAUUGCACAAUGGGGGAAAGCCUGAUGCAGCCAUGCCGCGUGUAUGAAGAAGGCCUUCGGGUUGUAAAGUACUUUCGGCGGGGAGGCGGUACUCGCAGAAGAAGCACCGGCUAACUACGUGCCAGCAGCCGCGGUAAUUC
rnacentral:rRNA from 1 species